rnacentral:rRNA from 1 species
GACGAACGCUGGCGGCGUGCUUAACACAUGCAAGUCGAGCGAUGAAACACCUUCGGGUGUGAAUUAGCGGCGAACGGGUGAGGAACACGUGAGAAAUCUGCCUUCAACUCUGGGAUAACUCCGGGAAACCGGGGCUAAUACCGGAUAUGAGCCUUGAUCGCAUGAUCGGGGCUGGAAAGUUUUUCGGUUGAAGAUGAUCUCGCGGCCUAUCAGCUUGUUGGUGAGGUAAUGGCUCACCAAGGCGACGACGGGUAGCCGGCCUGAGAGGGCGACCGGCCACACUGGGACUGAGACACGGCCCAGACUCCUACGGGAGGCAGCAGUGGGGAAUAUUGGGCAAUGGAGGAAACUCUGACCCAGCGACGCCGCGUGAGGGAUGAAGGCCUUCGGGUUGUAAACCUCUUUCAGUAGGGAAGAAGCGAAAGUGACGGUACCUACAGAAGAAGCACCGGCUAACUAUGUGCCAGCAGCCGCGGUAAUACAUAGGGUGCAAGCGUUGUCCGGAAUUAUUGGGCGUAAAGAGCUCGUAGGUGGUUAGAUACGUCGGAUGUGAAAAUCAGGGGCUCAACCCCUGACCUGCAUUCGAUACGGUCUAGCUAGAGUGUGGUAGGGGAGACUGGAAUUCCUGGUGUAGCGGUGGAAUGCGCAGAUAUCAGGAGGAACACCGAUGGCGAAGGCAGGUCUCUGGGCCAUUACUGACACUGAGGAGCGAAAGCGUGGGGAGCGAACAGGAUUAGAUACCCUGGUAGUCCACGCCGUAAACGGUGGGCGCUAGUUGUGCGAACCUUCCACGGUUUGUGCGACGCAGCUAACGCAUUAAGCGCCCCGCCUGGGGAGUACGAUCGCAAGAUUA